GGGUCGUUAGCUCAGCGGUAGAGCACUGCCUUCACACGGCAGGGGUCAGUGGUUCGAUCCCACUACGACCCACCA
rnacentral:tRNA from 2 species